ACACUACGGAGCGACUGAACUGAACUGAACUUAUCCACAGAAAGGAGAAGAUUUCAGAAGACCUGGCCCUCAGUCUUGUUUCAACUGCCAGCUUUGUGACCUGAGAAGGUCACUUUUCUUCCUGGGGACGUGACCUCAUCGAUUAGGCUUCUGUACAUUUCCUGCCUCAUUCACUUGACCAGCUUAGAUUAUGUGCUGUCAUUUGCUGCAUUAAAAGAAAAACCUAAAAUUUCA